UACCCGCAGCACAAGUGGUGGUCAUUAUUAUUGGGCCUAAAGCGUCCGUAGCUGGCCCGUUAGAUGCCUGGGUAAAUCGAUGCGCUCAACGUAUCGAACUCCGGGUAGACCGGCAGGCUUGGGACCGGGAGAGAUGUGAGCUACUCGAGGGGUAGGGGUAAAAUCCUGUAAUCCUUCGGGGAGGACCAGUGGCGAAGGCGUCACAUUAGAACGGCUCCGACAGUGAGGGACGAAGCCCUGGGGCGCAAACCGG
rnacentral:rRNA from 1 species